rnacentral:rRNA from 1 species
AGCGAACGUUAGCGGCGGGCUUAACACAUGCAAGUCGAACGCGAAAGGUCUUCGGACUGAGUAGAGUGGCGCACGGGUGAGUAACGCGUAGGUAAUCUACCCUUUGGCGGGGGAUAACGUUCCGAAAGGAGCGCUAAUACCGCAUAAGACCACGGAGUCUCCGGACGCUGUGGGAAAAGGUGGCCUCUUCUUGAAAGCUACCACCGAAGGAUGAGCCUGCGUCCCAUCAGCUAGUUGGUAAGGUAAUGGCUUACCAAGGCGAAGACGGGUAGCUGGUUUGAGAGAAUGAUCAGCCACACUGGCACUGGAACACGGGCCAGACUCCUACGGGAGGCAGCAGUGAGGAAUAUUGGGCAAUGGGCGAAAGCCUGACCCAGCCACGCCGCGUGAGUGAUGAAGGCCCUCGGGUCGUAAAGCUCUGUGGAGAGGGACGAAAACCCUGGUUUCAAAUAGGCUCCAGGCUUGACGGUACCUCUUUAGCAAGCACCGGCUAACUCUGUGCCAGCAG